rnacentral:rRNA from 1 species
GAAUAUUGCACAAUGGGCGCAAGCCUGAUGCAGCCAUGCCGCGUGUGUGAAGAAGGCCUUCGGGUUGUAAAGCACUUUCAGCGGGGAGGAAGGCGAUAAGGUUAAUAACCUUGUCGAUUGACGUUACCCGCAGAAGAAGCACCGGCUAACUCCGUGCCAGCAGCCGCGGUAAUACGGAGGGUGCAAGCGUUAAUCGGAAUUACUGGGCGUAAAGCGCACGCAGGCGGUCUGUCAAGUCGGAUGUGAAAUCCCCGGGCUCAACCUGGGAACUGCAUUCGAAACUGGCAGGCUAGAGUCUUGUAGAGGGGGGUAGAAUUCCAGGUGUAGCGGUGAAAUGCGUAGAGAUCUGGAGGAAUACCGGUGGCGAAGGCGGCCCCCUGGACAAAGACUGACGCUCAGGUGCGAAAGCGUGGGGAGCAAACAGGAUUAGAUACCCUGGUAGUCCACGCCGUAAACGAUGUCGAUUUGGAGGUUGUGCCCUUGAGGCGUGGCUUCCGGAGCUAACGCGUUAAAUCGACCGCCUGGGGAGUACGGCCGCAAGGUUAAAACUCAAAUGAAUUGACGGGGGCCCGCACAAGCGGUGGAGCAUGUGGUUUAAUUCGAUGCAACGCGAAGAACCUUACCUGGUCUUGACAUCCACAGAACUUAGCAGAGAUGCUUUGGUGCCUUCGGGAACUGUGAGACAGGUGCUGCAUGGCUGUCGUCAGCUCGUGUUGUGAAAUGUUGGGUUAAGUCCCGCAACGAGCGCAACCCUUAUCCUUUGUUGCCAGCGGUCCGGCCGGGAACUCAAAGGAGACUGCCAGUGAUAAACUGGAGGAAGGUGGGGAUGACGUCAAGUCAUCAUGGCCCUUACGACCAGGGCUACACACGUGCUACAAUGGCAUAUACAAAGAGAAGCGACCUCGCGAGAGCAAGCGGACCUCAUAAAGUAUGUCGUAGUCCGGAUUGGAGUCUGCAACUCGACUCCAUGAAGUCGGAAUCGCUAGUAAUCGUAGAUCAGAAUGCUACGGUGAAUACGUUCCCGGGCCUUGUACACACCGCCCGUCACACCAUGGGAGUGGGUUGCAAAAGAAGUAGGUAGCUUAACCUUCGGGAGGGCGCUUACCACUUUGUGAUUCAUGACUGGGGUGAAGUCGUAACAAGGUAACCGUAGGGGAACCUGCGGUUGGAUCACCUCCUUACCUUAAAGAA